rnacentral:rRNA from 1 species
GAUGAACGCUAGCGGGAGGCUUAACACAUGCAAGUCGAGGGGCAGCACGAUGUAGCAAUACGUUGGUGGCGACCGGCGCACGGGUGAGUAACACGUAUGCAACCUACCCUGUACAGGGGGAUAACCCGGAGAAAUUCGGACUAAUAUCCCAUAAAGAUAUUUGAGGGCAUCCUUGGAUAUUUAAAGCUCAGGCGGUUAUAGAUGGGCAUGCGUGACAUUAGCUAGUUGGUGAGGUAACGGCUCACCAAGGCUACGAUGUCUAGGGGUUCUGAGAGGAUUAUCCCCC